UACGUAGGGGGCAAGCGUUGUCCGGAUUUAUUGGGCGUAAAGAGCGUGUAGGCGGCCAGGUAGGUCCGUUGUGAAAACUCGAGGCUCAACCUCGAGACGCCGAUGGAAACCAUCUGGCUAGAGCCCGGAAGAGGAGAGUGGAAUUCCCGGUGUAGCGGUGAAAUGCGCAGAUAUCGGGAAGAACACCCGUGGCUAAGGCGGCUCUCUAGUACGGUACUGACGCUGAGACGCGAAAGCGUGGGGAGCGAACAGG
rnacentral:rRNA from 1 species